ACCUCUUUGUUUCUUCUUCAACUGCUCUCUUUAAGGAAUCAUUGAUGUCCCCCAACGCCCAAGCCAAGGAUAUAUGAGGGCGUGGAUCCUUGUAAAAUUCAGGAAGAUUGUGGAGCUUAUAAACCUCAUUAACGGAUUGAAUUUGUUUUGAAAUCUCGGCUAAUCCUCCUGUAACAACUUCCAUUGAAAGGAAAGUUCGAGUUUUAUCAUCAUUGACAAAAACCUCCCACUUACUAAAAUCAAUCCAAUAUCGUUUCUGAAACUGAAGCCUCUGGCGAAGCAUCAUAAUCACUGAAUCAAUCUGAUGAACUCGG
rnacentral:misc_RNA from 1 species